rnacentral:rRNA from 1 species
GAUGAACGCUGGCGGCGUGCCUAAUACAUGCAAGUCGAGCGAACGGACGAGAAGCUUGCUUCUCUGAUGUUAGCGGCGGACGGGUGAGUAACACGUGGAUAACCUACCUAUAAGACUGGGAUAACUUCGGGAAACCGGAGCUAAUACCGGAUAAUAUUUUGAACCGCAUGGUUCAAAAGUGAAAGACGGUCUUGCUGUCACUUAUAGAUGGAUCCGCGCUGCAUUAGCUAGUUGGUAAGGUAACGGCUUACCAAGGCAACGAUGCAUAGCCGACCUGAGAGAGUGAUCGGCCACACUAGAACUGAGACACGGUCCAGACUCCUACGGGAGGCAGCAGUAGGGAAUCUUCCGCAGUGGGCGAAAGCCUGACGGAGCAACGCCGCGUGAGUGAUGAAGGUCUUCGGAUCGUAAAACUCUGUUAUUAGGGAAGAACAUAUGUGUAAGUAACUGUGCACAUCUUGACGGUACCUAAUCAGAAAGCCACGGCUAACUACGUG